ACCCCGCCGCCAAGUUAGUCCCCGCCCCCUAGGCCGAAGCUCUGGGCCAGCGCAGCCCCCACUCCUCGCCCGCGUACUGGCUUCCGGAGUCGGUCUCACGUGGCCCGGCCCGUGCGCACAGUGGUCCCGCCCCAGAGCGCGAGGCUCCACCUCUCUCGGCAACGGCGCUGCGUGCGCGCGUCGCGCCUCUCACUGAUUUCCGGGGAGGUGCGUGGGGACGCGGAGGUUGGAGCUGGAGGCCCAGAUACAGGGGCUGGCGGGCGGGGCCCGGGAGGACGGCAGAGACCCUUCUGUGCUGGCGGUGGACCGCGCGCCCCCUCCGGAAGGCUGGAAGCCGGGCAACACCAGCACCGCGGGUUAUGGGAAACAGCGAGAGCAGGCCUGGGGCCUGUGAGUGCUGUGUCACGUGCUGUCACCCCCAGUCACCCCUUCCGCAGCAGAGGGGAGCCCAAGGUCUUGGCUUGUACCCUGUGCAGCCUGGCAUCCUGUGAUUAUCGUUCCUUAUAGUGGGCCCAGCUGGCGGCCAGCUCUGUCGCUUACCUUAGCUCUCCUACACCAGCUAACCAGAAGGCGACUGGCAUCACCACCCACUCUGCUACAGCCCCAAAUACAGCCUCUCCCCGACUUAGGAUGUAAAACAUACUAAUAAACCCACCGUGACAUGAAAACAUCA